CCCCCGGCAUAUCCAUUUCCUGAGCGCAACCCCCUUCCUUCCUCUGUUACGAGAGUGGCUGGGCCCCGGAAGUAGUUGCCCCUCUCAGAUUCAUUCCCUCCUGACAGCCCUUCGUCACCUUCCUCGUCCAAGGAAGAACAGCUGCUAAUUAAAGGAGCCUGAUCUCUUCUGAGUGUGGGAAGGCGAAGGCAGUUCAGUUGUAAACAGACCCCAGCCACUCCAGUCUGAGAGCAUGCAACCCCCACUCCAAGCAACAGAAACCCACCUGGGCAGGAAGACUCUAGAAACACCUGUUCAAUGAAAUUGGAGAACUCAGCAUCUCAGCCACGCACUGGAAGCCAACGGCAGUAGAAGCUCAGCUCAGCGAUCCUGAACAAGCAAGUUGCUUGCGUAGGUUCUCUCUCUGGGACCAGAGAGGAAAGUUCUCGGACUGCAAUUAAGGACUGAAAGGAUGGA